AUAGCUAUCUGUUGCAUUCCAGCAAAGCCUCGUCUACAGAGUACCUUAUAUUAAAACAUCCGAUAAUAGUUGAUGGAACGUUUUCAAUUAAAAUAAUAGAUUUCUAGUUUGUUUUUGGCCACACGUCUUAUUGAUAUUGACUGGCUAAUUACAUACAACUCAUUACAGGUUUGACUUAAGAAUUUGUUCUUUAGUUUUUUGAAUUUGGCAUAUUUUUAUACCUACUGUCAUGCCAUAAUUUUUGUUUAUUUAAAAGUGAAAUCCUAUCGGUUAAUUGAUUAUAAUAAUUAUGAUUUACAUGGCCAAUGGUGGAGGAUUGGCUCGUUCGUGCGCUGCUGUAUUUAAAACAACUCCAACAAUGAUGGAAGUAGUUGCGACACCAUAUUUUUACCCAAAAAUUACACCUGUAGUGGCUGAAACUCCACCACCUGUAAUAGUGCGAAGAGAAAUUUACAAAAGACUACCAACUGCUAGUAUUGUAGCCAAAUCUGGAUAUUUUAGUACUUUCUCUGUCAAUAGCUUCCUUAGGCUUUGUUGAAUGAAUAUCUGUCUGUCUCAACAUGUAUUAAGUACCUAAUCAGUUUUUUAUUUACUCCAGUAUUAAGUUUGUUGAAUCAAAGAACCAUAACAAGCGUAAAAUACUAAAAGUAGAACAAGUCGGUAUAUGAUAGUGGCUGUGGAAUCUACGGACAGUGCCCCCAAUUUGGCAAAUCUGUUAACUUGGCAAACGUUGCGUCCGUUUUCCAUUCGGAGGUAAACGCCAUAGUAAUAUGCGGAUACGAUCCAGAAUGAAGGCUACAUCGGCUAGUGUAUUUACAGAUAGUCAGGCGGACUAUACUGAAUGUUUUGGGAGAAAUAAACAAAGUUACACUUCAAAUGGUUCCAGGACAUGCAGCCAUCUAAGACAGCCUGUUGAUAUUGGAAAUUCAGCCCCCAAUUCUAUUUUUUCCCAUUCCGUAGAUCCACAACUGUCCCUAAGUCCUCAGUUCUUAAUCCCAUAUCAUCAGGACCUGUGAUCUAUGAAAGUGAAUGUGAAAUGAAAAGAAAUAAAAUGCUUUAUUUUUAUAUAA